UACGAAGGGGGCUAGCGUUGUUCGGAAUUACUGGGCGUAAAGCGCACGUAGGCGGGUAUUUAAGUCAGGGGUGAAAUCCCAGAGCUCAACUCUGGAACUGCCUUUGAUACUGGGUACCUAGAGUAUGGAAGAGGUGAGUGGAAUUCCGAGUGUAGAGGUGAAAUUCGUAGAUAUUCGGAGGAACACCAGUGGCGAAGGCGGCUCACUGGUCCAUUACUGACGCUGAGGUGCGAAAGCGUGGGGAGCGAACAGG
rnacentral:rRNA from 1 species